CUUGGUCAUUUAGAGGAAGUAAAAGUCGUAACAAGGUUUCCGUAGGUGAACCUGCGGAAGGAUCAUUAUUGAAAUAAACCUGAUGGGUUGUUGCUGGUUCUCUAGGGAGCAUGUGCACGCCUUGUCAUCUUUAUAUCUCCACCUGUGCACCUUUUGUAGACCUUUCAGGUCUAUGUUGCUUCAUUUACCCCAUGUAUGUUAAUAGAAUGUUGUGCCUAUAUAAUAUAUACAACUUUCAGCAACGGAUCUCUUGGCUCUCGCAUCGAUGAAGAACGCAGCGAAAUGCGAUAAGUAAUGUGAAUUGCAGAAUUCAGUGAAUCAUCGAAUCUUUGAACGCACCUUGCGCUCCUUGGUAUUCCGAGGAGCAUGCCUGUUUGAGCGUCAUUAAUAUAUAUAUCAACCUUCUCUUGUUGAGUGGGUUUGAAUGGGGGGGGUUUGCUGGCCUCUUAAAGGGUUCAGCUCCUCUGAAAUGCAUUAGCAGAACAACCCUGUUCAUUGGUGUGAUAACUAUCUACGCUAUUGAAUGUGAGGGGCAGUUCAGCUUUCUAACAGUCCUUUGGACAAAUCAUCAUUAAUGUUGACCUCAAAUCAGGUAGGACUACCCGCUGAACUUAAGCAUAUCAAUAAGCGGAGGA
rnacentral:rRNA from 1 species